rnacentral:rRNA from 1 species
CCUUCUACGGGGGGACAACCUUCCGAAAGGGAGGCUAAUCCCGCGUAUAUCGGUUUCGGGCAUCCGAGAUCGAGGAAAGAUUCAUCGGAAGAGGAUGGGCAUGCGGCGCAUUAGCUAGACGGCGGGGUAACGGCCCACCGUGGCGACGAUGCGUAGGGGUUCUGAGAGGAAGGUCCCCCACACUGGUACUGAGACACGGACCAGACUCCUACGGGAGGCAGCAG